CAAUACCCUCUUGCCGUAAAUCAAUGUCGUAAAAUUACGCCAAGAACACCGGUCAUCAUGUGGGAGGCAACAAAAAACGCCACGGUUUUGUAAGAAAUGUCGGUGUAAACAUGACAUUUAACGACCAAGUGACGAAACAUGGCUGUUGAAUUUCGGGUUGAUCGGUGAAACUUUCCAUGAAACGCUACUGAGAGAAACCUGGGAUAAGGUUCUGUGGGCUGACUGCAAUUAAAUGACACUUCACGACUCAAGGGGGAGCCCUGGCGCCGCGGCGGUCCCUUACAGCUCUUUUAACAGGGAAGUAAGGCUAGCCACACCCCAGGCAUCUUGCGGCUGUGCAACCAGGUGGAUGCUUUGCUGAACUAACAAGGCGGCGUGAAGUGUGCGCUUCUUCUUGCUGGGUGGCUGCCUGAAAUGUCAGCGCUGAAGGAACAGAUAGUGCCAGUUUGAAAAACGACGCCCUCUUGUGGAUGAGGGGUGCAACUAUCUCUGAUCAAGAUGUGGAACAAAGACACAAACAUGAGGAAAACACCAAAAAGGGUGACCAGCAGCACCAGGGCGCCGAUGGUGGUCAUCAUGCCGCCGUAGUAGGAGAGCAGAGCAUCGCGGCAGCCGCUCUUCCACACGUUGAGGUCCUCGGUGUAGUGGUCGUAGCUGUAAUGCGCCGAGUUGUUGGUCAUCUGAUGCUG